UUGAAAGGGAAACGAUUGAAGUCAGUCGUACCGACGGAAAAUCAGCUCUUUGAGUGCGGACUUGUGGGUUUACGUGAGCUUUACGGCCUCGUUGUUUGCAAUGUUCGUUCUUUUUGGGUGUACUUUUUCGUAUGGUAGGCCAACAUCAGUUUCAAUCGCUAUAAAAUGACCGGCGGAAUGUAGCUUCGAUCUCGUAUUGAAGUGUUAUAGCCUCUGGUAGAUGUGGUGAUUGGGACUGAGGAUUGCAACGAAUACCUUCUGGGCUAUCCGUCUGAUCUCUGAAAGUUGCUUAGGUGCCGAAAGCGUGCUUACGGUUAUUUAAGUUGACGGUCAAAAGGUUAGAACGUGAUUAUAUUCGUUAAGGAUGUUGACGUA
rnacentral:rRNA from 1 species